UACGUAGGGGGCAAGCGUUAUCCGGAUUUACUGGGUGUAAAGGGAGCGUAGGCGGCUUAGUAAGUCAGAAGUGAAAGCCCGCAGCUCAACUGCGGGACUGCUUUUGAAACUGCCAGGCUAGAGUGUCGGAGAGGUAAGUGGAAUUCCUAGUGUAGCGGUGAAAUGCGUAGAUAUUAGAAGGAACACCAGUGGCGAAGGCGACUUGCUGGGCCAAAACUGACGCUGAGACACGAAAGCGUGGGGAGCAAAUAGG
rnacentral:rRNA from 1 species